rnacentral:lncRNA from 1 species
GAUAACGUUCCAGAUUGAGAGCUGACUUGUUCAGGGUCCACGAGGCCAACAAGGUUUACCAUAUUCGCCAUUUUUAAAUAGUCAAAUAGGUACCUAAUUAAAUAUAUGAAAUUCAAUUAAAUGAGAUUUUAAUUUAAAAGAAAGGAAAUGUAAAAAAAAUAAAAUUGGAUUUCUAGAAUUACCUCAUGUAUAGUGCAAUCACUGUGGAUCCAAUCUCAACCAUGGAAGCAAACUGUAAAACGUCUUCACACAAUAGCCAGG